GGAAACCUCGGCUAAGCAAGGAAAAAAAUGGCAAAGACAAAGGAAGUUAGCUCGAGAAAAUACGGUUAAGUAAAGAUAGUACGUUGAAUCAGCAUCCCAGUCCGAUCCCGAAUUCAUUAAGGUAAAGUGUGUUAAUUAUUGGUAAUGGCAUGUACCUAGGAUGUCUUAUGUGAAUGUCAUUUUGAAAUUGUAAAUGUAAGGAUAAAAUAAAUAAAUUUAGAUUUGGCUAAUUUGGUAUGAAUUUGAAUUUUUGUGAGACAA